rnacentral:rRNA from 1 species
UACGAGAGGCCCAAACGUUAUUCGGAAUUACUGGGCUUAAAGAGUUCGUAGGCGGCAUGAAAAGUAGGGUGUGAAAGCCAUCGGCUCAACCGAGGAAUUGCGCUCUAAACUGUCGUGCUAGAGGAAGCUAGAGGUGAGCGGAACUGAUGGUGGAGCGGUGAAAUGCGUUGAUAUCAUCAGGAACACCGGAGGCGAAGGCGGCUCACUGGGGCUUUUCUGACGCUGAGGAACGAAAGCCAGGGUAGCGAACGGG